UGGGGAAUAUUGCACAAUGGGCGAAAGCCUGAUGCAGCAACGCCGCGUGAAGGAUGAAGGCCUUUGGGUCGUAAACUUCUGUCCUUGGGGAAGAAAAAAAUGACGGUACCCCUGGAGGAAGUCCCGGCUAACUACGUGCCAGCAGCCGCGGUAAUACGUAGGGGGCGAGCGUUAUCCGGAAUUAUUGGGCGUAAAGAGUACGUAGGUGGUUUUUUAAGCGCAGGGUUUAAGGCGAUGGCUCAAUUGUCGUUCGCCCUGUGAACUGGAAGACUUGAGUACAGGAGAGGAAAGCGGAAUUCCUAGUGUAGCGGUGAAAUGCAUAGAUAUUAGGAGGAACACCAGUGGCGAAGGCGGCUUUCUGGACUGUAACUGACACUGAGGUACGAAAGCGUGGGGAGCAAACA
rnacentral:rRNA from 1 species